rnacentral:rRNA from 1 species
GAUGAACGCUGGCGGCGUGCCUCUUACAUGCAAGUCAAACGCGCAGCGAAAGGUGCUUGCACCUUUCAAGCGAGUGGCGAACGGGUGAGUAACACGUGAAUAACCUGCCUCAAGGCUGGGGAUAACAUUUGAAAACAAAUGCUAAUACCGAAUAAAACUUAGUAUCGCAUGAUACAAAGUUAAAAGGCGCUACGGCGUCACCUAAAGAUGGAUCCGCGGUGCAUUAGUUAGUUGGGGGGGUAAAGGCUUACCAAGACAAUGAUGCAUACCCAAGUUGAGAGACUGAUCGGCCACAUUGGGACUGAAACACGGCCCAAACUCCUACGGGAGGCAGCAGUGGGGAAUAUUGCACAAUGGGGGAAACCCUGAUGCAGCGACCCCGCGUGAAGAAAAAAGGUCUUCGGAUUGUAAACUCCUGUUGUUGAGGAAAAUAAUGACGGUACUCAACAAGGAAGU